CCUACGGGUGGCUGCAGUGGGGAAUAUUGGACAAUGGGCGAAAGCCUGAUCCAGCCAUGCCGCGUGUGUGAAGAAGGUCUUCGGAUUGUAAAGCACUUUAAGUUGGGAGGAAGGGCAUUAACCUAAUACGUUAGUGUUUUGACGUUACCGACAGAAUAAGCACCGGCUAACUUCGUGCCAGCUGCCGCGGUAAUACGAAGGGUGCAAGCGUUAAUCGGAAUUACUGGGCGUAAAGCGCGCGUAGGUGGUUUGUUAAGUUGAAUGUGAAAGCCCCGGGCUCAACCUGGGAACUGCAUCCAAAACUGGCAAGCUAGAGUAUGGCAGAGGGUGGUGGAAUUUCCUGUGUAGCGGUGAAAUGCGUAGAUAUAGGAAGGAACACCAGUGGCGAAGGCGACCACCUGGGCUAAUACUGACACUGAGGUGCGAAAGCGUGGGGAGCAAACAGGAUUAGAUACCCGUGUAGUC
rnacentral:rRNA from 1 species